UGGGGAAUAUUGCACAAUGGGCGAAAGCCUGAUGCAGCAACGCCGCGUGAGUGAUGAAGGUCUUCGGAUUGUAAAGCUCUGUCUUUUGGGACGAUAAUGACGGUACCAAAGGAGGAAGCCACGGCUAACUACGUGCCAGCAGCCGCGGUAAUACGUAGGUGGCGAGCGUUGUCCGGAUUUACUGGGCGUAAAGGGUGCGUAGGCGGAUGUUUAAGUGAGAUGUGAAAUACCCGGGCUUAACUUGGGUGCUGCAUUUCAAACUGGAUAUCUAGAGUGCAGGAGAGGAGAAUGGAAUUCCUAGUGUAGCGGUGAAAUGCGUAGAGAUUAGGAAGAACACCAGUGGCGAAGGCGAUUCUCUGGACUGUAACUGACGCUGAGGCACGAAAGCGUGGGUAGCAAACAGGAUUAGAUACCCUGGUAGU
rnacentral:rRNA from 1 species